rnacentral:rRNA from 1 species
CCUACGGGUGGCUGCAGUGGGGGAUAUUGCACAAUGGGGGAAACCCUGAUGCAGCGAUGCCGCGUGAAUGAAGACGGCCUUCGGGUUGUAACGUUCUGUCGCCGGGGACGAAAAUGACGGUACCCUGCAAGCAAGCUCCGGCUAACUACGUGCCAGCAGCCGCGGUAAUACGUAGGGCGCAAGCGUUGUCCGGAAUUACUGGUGGUAAAGGGAGCGUAGGCGGGAGGAAAAGUAGAAGUUGAAAUCUAUGGGCUCAACCCAUAGCAGCGUUCAAAACUGGUCGUCUUGAGUGAAGUAGAGGCAGGCGGAAUUCCGGGUGUAGCGGUGAAAUGCGUAGAUAUUAGGAGGAACACCAGUGGCGAAGGCGGCCGGCUGGGCUGUUACUGACGCUGAGGCUCGAAAGCGUGGGGAGCAAACAGGAUUAGAUACCCUAGUAGUC